rnacentral:rRNA from 1 species
AGCGAGCUUGCCUAGAUGAUUUUAGUGCUUGCACUAAAUGAAACUAGAUACAAGCGAGCGGCGGACGGGUGAGUAACACGUGGGUAACCUGCCCAAGAGACUGGGAUAACACCUGGAAACAGAUGCUAAUACCGGAUAACAACACUAGACGCAUGUCUAGAGUUUGAAAGAUGGUUCUGCUAUCACUCUUGGAUGGACCUGCGGUGCAUUAGCUAGUUGGUAAGGUAACGGCUUACCAAGGCAAUGAUGCAUAGCCGAGUUGAGAGACUGAUCGGCCACAUUGGGACUGAGACACGGCCCAAACUCCUACGGGAGGCAGCAGUAGGGAAUCUUCCACAAUGGACGAAAGUCUGAUGGAGCAACGCCGCGUGAGUGAAGAAGGGUUUCGGCUCGUAAAGCUCUGUUGGUAGUGAAGAAAGAUAGAGGUAGUAACUGGCCUUUAUUUGACGGUAAUUACUUAGAAAGUCACGGCUAACUACGUGCCAGCAGCCGCGGUAAUACGUAGGUGGCAAGCGUUGUCCGGAUUUAUUGGGCGUAAAGCGAGUGCAGGCGGUUCAAUAAGUCUGAUGUGAAAGCCUUCGGCUCAACCGGAGAAUUGCAUCAGAAACUGUUGAACUUGAGUGCAGAAGAGGAGAGUGGAACUCCAUGUGUAGCGGUGGAAUGCGUAGAUAUAUGGAAGAACACCAGGGGCGAAGGCGGCUCUCUGGUCUGCAACUGACGCUGAGGCUCGAAAGCAUGGGUAGCGAACAGGAUUAGAUACCCUGGUAGUCCAUGCCGUAAACGAUGAGUGCUAAGUGUUGGGAGGUUUCCGCCUCUCAGUGCUGCAGCUAACGCAUUAAGCACUCCGCCUGGGGAGUACGACCGCAAGGUUGAAACUCAAAGGAAUUGACGGGGGCCCGCACAAGCGGUGGAGCAUGUGGUUUAAUUCGAAGCAACGCGAAGAACCUUACCAGGUCUUGACAUCCAGUGCAAACCUAAGAGAUUAGGUGUUCCCUUCGGGGACGCUGAGACAGGUGGUGCAUGGCUGUCGUCAGCUCGUGUCGUGAGAUGUUGGGUUAAGUCCCGCAACGAGCGCAACCCUUGUCAUUAGUUGCCAUCAUUAAGUUGGGCACUCUAAUGAGACUGCCGGUGACAAACCGGAGGAAGGUGGGGAUGACGUCAAGUCAUCAUGCCCCUUAUGACCUGGGCUACACACGUGCUACAAUGGACGGUACAACGAGAAGCGAACCUGCGAAGGCAUGCGGAUCUCUUAAAGCUGUUCUCAGUUCGGACUGUAGGCUGCAACUCGCCUACACGAAGCUGGAAUCGCUAGUAAUC